UUGAACGCUGGCGGCAUGCCUUACACAUGCAAGUCGAACGGCAGCACGGGGUGCUUGCACCUGGUGGCGAGUGGCGAACGGGUGAGUAAUGUAUCGGAACGUGCCCAGUCGUGGGGGAUAACGUAGUGAAAAUUACGCUAAUACCGCAUACGAUCUAUGGAUGAAAGGCGGGGGAUCGCAAGACCUCGCGCGAUUGGAGCGGCCGAUAUCAGAUUAGGUAGUUGGUGAGGUAAAGGCUCACCAAGGCAACGAUCAGUAGCUGGUCUGAGAGGACAAUCAGCCACACUGGGACUGAGACACGGCCCAGACUCCUACGGGAGGCAGCAGGUGGGGUAAUUUUUGGACAAUGGGGGAAACCCUGAUCCAGCAAUGCCGCGUGAGUGAAGAAGGCCUUCGGGUUGUAAAGCUCUUUUGUCAGGGAAGAAACACCGGCUCUAACACAGUCCGGGAAUGACGGUACCUGAAGAAUAAGCACCGGCUAACUACGUG
rnacentral:rRNA from 1 species